rnacentral:rRNA from 1 species
UUGUCUCAAAGAUUAAGCCAUGCAUGUCUCAGUACAAGCCACAUUAAGGUGAAACCGCGAAAGGCUCAUUAAAUCAGUUAUGGUUCCUUGGAUCGUACCCACAUCUACUUGGAUAACUGUGGUAAUUCUAGAGCUAAUACAUGCAAACAGAGCUCCGACCGGAGACGGGAGGAGUGCUUUUAUUAGAACAAAACCAAUCGGCGGCGGGCGCGUCCGCGCGCCCGUCGCCGCUCAACCUGGCGACUCUGAAUAACUUCGUGCUGAUCGCACGGUCUCGCACCGGCGACGCAUCUUUCAAAUGUCUGCCUUAUCAACUGUCGAUGGUAGGUUCUGCGCCUACCAUGGUCGUAACGGGUAACGGGGAAUCAGGGUUCGAUUCCGGAGAGGGAGCCUGAGAAACGGCUACCACAUCCAAGGAAGGCAGCAGGCGCGCAAAUUACCCACUCCCGGCACGGGGAGGUAGUGACGAAAAAUAACGAUACGGGACUCAUCCGAGGCCCCGUAAUCGGAAUGAGUACACUUUAAAUCCUUUAACGAUGAUCAAUUGGAGGGCAAGCCUGGUGCCAGCAGCCGCGGUAAUUCCAGUUCCAAUAGCGUA